AUGGGAUCACAUAGCGAUGGAUUUUGUGACAGCUUUACCCAAAAGUCAAAGAGGAAAUACAGCAAUUUGGGUGAUUGUAGAUCGACUAACAAAAUCUGCACAUUUCAUACCGAUCCUAAUCGCGUAUGGACCAGAUAAGUUAUCACAAUUGUACGUUCGUGAGAUUAUAAGAUUGCAUUGAGUACCGGUGUAGAUCACCUCAGAAAAAAAAAAAUUUACAUCACGUUUUUGGAUGAGUUACAGAAAGAGUUGGGUACAAGGAUGAAUUUUAGCAUAGCAGGCGAUAGAAGAUAUUAUAGGAACUACUAUCCUUGAUAGAGGAGUAAAUCGGGAGAAUGUGUUGCCACUAAUUGAGUUUACCUAUAAGAUGUGAGACAAAGUUUCGAGAUAAGAGACAAAGUUUUCUUGAAGGUUUCACCCUCAAAGGGGAUGAAUAGAUUUGGAGUUAAAGGACAGCUUAGACCCAGAGUUAUAAGUCCUUACGAGAUAUUGCAAAAGAUAGGUCCAAUAGCGUAUAGGUUGGCUUUGCCACCUAGCUUUGGAAAUGUGCAUAACGUGUUUCACGUGUCACAAUUGAGAGGAUACAUAUUUCCGACCCAAACCAUGUGGUUUACUAAGAAGAAAUGAUCUUAGAACCAGACUUGAGUUAUGAAGAGAGACCUCAGAUGAUGCUAAAUCAUAAAAUUCGGCAAUCGAGUAAUAAGUCGAUUGCAUUGGAUAAGGUCCAAUGGAGAUAUGAUACUUAGAAAGAAGUGGAAAGAGAGCUUGAGGAUAAGAUGUGAGAGAAGUACCCGAAACAUUUACAAGAGGUACAAAUUUCGGGACGAAAUUUAUUUUAAGGGGGAAGGUAUGUAAUACCCGUGCUUUUGAUGACGUGUUUAAUUGCUUAAGUUUGAGUAAUUAGGGUAUAGAUCCCUUGUUUGAUUACUUUGUAAAGAGAUGAGGAGUUAUAUGAAGUUUUUUUUUUUAAAGAUGUUGAGAUGUUCUUUCGAUGAUGUAAGAAUGAUGUGAGAUUUUAUAUUCGUAUUUGAGUUUGAGUAUUCGAAUAAUUCGAGAUAAUUAUUUGAAUGAGAACGGUGAACUCGGAAGUGAGAUCUGAGUCCGUUAAGACGUUUUUGAAAAUUUUGACUUUUUGACGAUGAAUAGUAAAAUACUGCUAUUUCGUCUUUUUGUCGACUUUCAAAAUCUUACGUGCACGUCGUCGAAAAAUAUUCUUAGUUUUUCGAUACGAGUCCAAUAAUGAAAGUUUUUAUUUUUGGACGACGAGUGAAUAGUGAACUAGAUUUUCUCGAUAAACGAACCGAGCUCGUUUAUCAGAAUUUCGAGAACGAGCUUGUGUUUUCUAUAUUUAUAUAGAAUUACGAGUGCAAUGAAAGUGAGUAGAGGUUGAGAGGGCGAGUAACGAAGAGUAUGGGUAGUUAAUCGUUAAAACGAGACGAAACGAGAUAUUUAACGACUAACGGGUUAAUAUCCUAAAUAUCUAACCUACCCUACCCCUAACCACCCCCCCAACUGCCCACUAUCCCUCUAUCUCACCUAACUCACGCUGCACACACAACACACACACUAAUUUGUGCUGCACACACACUAAAACACAUUAGAAACACACACACACUUCACGUUAACACCAUUUCUUUGGUGUUCAAGCUUUUGACCUCCGAUUUGAGCACCGAGACGAGCGCCGAUCAUCUUUUCGAUCACGUAUCUAAGUAGGUCCUUUUGGGAAGUAACGACUUGAGGGAGAGAGUGACGUUACUCAUUGAUACAGAGACACAACGAGGUUGAGCUGAUGUGAUGAUGGUGCUGCAAUGAGCGGAGUCUCCAGGGUUGUUAAUAAAUAGUUAACCUGUCUAGAAUAUGUCUUCAUACAUAUGUCUAGCUACUUUCCGCUGCAAGAUGUUGUUGAUGUUAUAGUAUGUUAUGUCAUACUUUGAGUCUUAAGAGAAUGGUUUCAUAUGAUGUAUAACUUGAUUAAUGAUAUUAAUUAACUUUUAUGCAGUCUUUCAUAGACUGUUUUCAAUUGAGUAUUAAUGAAUAAAAAUGACGAGUUUUAUUAA